GACGAACGCUGGCGGCGUGCUUAACACAUGCAAGUCGAACGAAGAGCGAUGGAAGCUUGCUUCUAUCAAUCUUAGUGGCGAACGGGUGAGUAACGCGUAAUCAACCUGCCCUUCAGAGGGGGACAACAGUUGGAAACGACUGCUAAUACCGCAUACGAUCUAACCUCGGCAUCGAGGAUAGAUGAAAGGUGGCCUCUAUUUAUAAGCUAUCACUGAAGGAGGGGAUUGCGUCUGAUUAGCUAGUUGGAGGGGUAACGGCCCACCAAGGCGAUGAUCAGUAGCCGGUCUGAGAGGAUGAACGGCCACAUUGGGACUGAGACACGGCCCAGACUCCUACGGGAGGCAGCAGUGGGGAAUCUUCCGCAAUGGACGAAAGUCUGACGGAGCAACGCCGCGUGAGUGAUGACGGCCUUCGGGUUGUAAAGCUCUGUUAAUCGGGACGAAAGGCCUUCUUGCGAAUAGUUAGAAGGAUUGA
rnacentral:rRNA from 1 species